UAACCAUUUACGUUAUUUCUGCAGGAUUACUUAUGCUUUGUUUUGUUAUUUUGUUUUGUCUUGCCUUGGUUACUAAUUUUGUCUUUGUUUUCCAAUGCACCUUUUCAUUCUGUCCUAUGCGCCGAGGGUCGCAUGGAAGCAGCCUCUCUGCGCUUUUGGGUAGGGGUAAGACUGCCUACAUAUUACCCUCCCCAGACCCCACCUGGUGGGAGUAUACUGGGUAGUUGUUGUUGUU
rnacentral:lncRNA from 1 species